rnacentral:rRNA from 1 species
CAAUAGCGUAUAUUUAAGUUGUUGCAGUUAAAAAGCUCGUAGUUGGAUUUCGGGUGGGACGCAGCGGUCUCGCAUUGCGUUUGUACUGCUGCAGCCCUCCUUCUUGCCGGGGGCGGCCUCUCGGACUUCACUGUCUGGGGGUCAGAAUCGGCGAUGUUACUUUGAGUAAAUUAGAGUGUUCAAAGCAAGCUUACGCUCUGAAUAUAAUAGCAUGGGAUAACACGACAGGACUCUGGCCUAUCGUGUUGGUCUAUAGGACCAGAGUAAUGAUUAAGAGGGACAGUCGGGGGCAUUCGUAUUCCGUUGUCAGAGGUAAAAUUCUUGGAUUUACGGAAGACGAACAUCUGCGAAAGCAUUUGCCAAGGAUGUUUUCAUUGA